AUUGUUCUCUCUACUGAUUGUUCUAAUAGUACUCCCACGUACAGAAAUGCACUUCUGCAAUGCGCUCGUGCACAGGUGAAUCCGUUCUCGCCGUUAUUAUUUCACUGCACUGCAAAAUCCCUUCGCUCACGUUUCAUUCAAUUUUCAGCUCGUGUCACAUCCACACAUCUCGCUUCAAGUUCAAUCCGAAAAAAUCAUGUUGGCAAGAGGACUUCUCCGUCGUGUACCCAAAUCAUGGCAACAAUCGAUCCGUAAGAUGUCGGAUACGCAACCUCCUCCACCAAUUGGCGAGAACUUGCCUUUCCGCUUCGACGACAAAACUCGCUUCACGGUGCUUUACACGGUUUUCAUCUCAUCGGGAUUCGGCCUUCCAUUCUUUACUCUGCAUCAUCAAAUGACAAAGUAAUUCUGGAGCACGGCGAUUUAGUGUAAAAAGUAACUUUUUGGUUAAGGAAACGAAGCUGUUGAGAUUCAAUUUUGUUGAUGGAAAUGCAAUAAAAACCUCGAUUUGAGUGAUUGUUAGAAACGAAUUCCAA